AGAUUAUUAGUGCUGUCAUAUUAAUAUCAAUGUCACCUGAUCUAAAAAAAAUCUUUCUUUCCUAUUACCCUCUGCUGUGGUGUAGUGCUCAAACCAAAUCCUUCCAUUUACAUCGGUCUUGGGCAGUUUGUUCUAGCUCCUCCCACGUCAUGCCCAAGACGCCCAGCUCCUGCUCCACCGAGCAACGCCAAGUUGUUUUGGGACGGCCUCUUUUCCUUUUGCCAGACACUUUCCAGGUCAGUGCUCUCUUGGAUGGAUGGGUUUUCUUAAUAUCUCUCCUUAUCCAUUGGCGUCUGCCUGAUGAUCCUCCACAGUUUUUUUUUAUUGCCCUUGUAAACAAAUGAGCAUACGGCCCACCUGAUGGUGAGUGAUUACCGUCGCCCAUGGACUUCAGCAAUGCCAGGGGCAAAGCCAAUUCACUGCUUACCGUAACCUUACAGCUAUUUGUUAGUGAUCGUCUCAGCCCAAAAGAUUUUCAAAAAAUUUAAAAACAACGAAAAUCAAAAUUUCAAUGUCAAUCAUUGGUAAAAUUACAAAAUCGUAAAUUACGGUAAUUUUUUUUACCGUAUAAGAGGUGGUAUGGUAGGUAGUAAAUCGAGCAAAAUCGAGCAAAAUUACGGCAUGUCUACCGUAAUUACGGUUAAAAUUGCUGCUAAAUAAAAAAAAAUAUAAAAAAUAUAGACAUCAACAGUAUUUGAACCAAACAAUUUGGAAACUAUUGGCAUGAUGUAUGUAAUCUACAAUUCUGAAAUGAUUUACUAAGACUUUGUACUUUUGUAAAAAACAAACACUAUUAUUGAUCACUAAAUAAUAGUGUUUUUUUUUAUUAAAAUACUAUUUCGAAUGAAUUUCCCUUUUCUUAUAUAAUUAUUUUUAUUAUUUAGAAUUAUUUAAGGAUAAGCACAGCCAUAAUUUACCUGAAUUAUUUUUGAGCUAAAAACGGUCACCUUUUCAAAGCUGAUUGGCCAUCUUUACCAACGUUGGGAACAAAACCAGUCAUUCUCAUCAGUGAAAAUUAAAGUGUGUCAUAUUCAGAUAUCUCAGUUAAAUAAAUGAUUUAAUUUACAAUAAUAAGUAUAUGUUGAUGAUCCAAAGGCUUUUUGGAUUAAUAUCUCUCAGGUUAAGCCUCAUGAACUCAUCUAGCCUUCUGUGCGUAGUUGGAAUUGCUCCUUAGAUUACUAACGAUUAGGUAGAAUAAAAAAAUAUCGAUUUUGAAUCACCGGUCACCGUUCUCGUCAAGCUCGCCAAUUACAACGAAGAGCUCGACGAGUGAACUAAUCCAUAGACACAGCCCUCUGAAUUUGUCGCGGGAUUAAAAGAAAGUGGGUUGCAAUUCCGAUCCGGUGGCGGAUUCUGCGAAUCACUGCUCUUGUUAGGGCUAGUGUUAGCGAAUUCUCUCAGGUUAAGCCCGUGAGCCACCACGAGUCACCUACCCAUCCGGACGUAGCUGGAAGAACCUCUUACGCUACCAGCGAAUAGUUAGGGGAAAAAAAUCAGUAGUAAACUGCUAUGAAGGCAGAAAUAGCUUAAAAAUCAAUACCGUCAAUUUUCGUAUUCUUAAAAAUGCUAAAAGCGAAAUUAACGCUUUUUUUUUUUAAAUAACUGAAAUACCCAUAGAACCUUUGUAAAACAAUCAAAUCUUUAAAUAUCUGGCAAAGGCGUUUUUUAAAUACCUUUUGAUUAAAUAUAUCUAUACCAAAAUUACAAGCUAGAAUGGCACAAACUUUUUGGUAUCUAUUGAAAAUACUUACAAUUGUCUAUGACUCACUUCCGGUACUAAAAUUCUCAAAUAAAAGUAUUUAGUCAUAGUUUGAAGAAUCUACACAUUACCGUUUCUUAAAUCAUUUUAAAAAUUAAAUAAAAAAUUAUUAAAUUUUUUGUCUACAAUAUAAAUUAGGACAAACAGUGUUCUGUAAAAUUUAUGUAAAAAGCUCCUGUUAGCUCAACUUGACCUUGCUAGUUCUUUUCCGUUCAGCUACUGCGGUUGAAACAUGUCUUAUUCGUCUGAAAGAAGGUCAGAAGAUUGGCCAGAGGAUUCCAAAAAUGGGCCAUCGAAGGAUCAAGGUAGUUACGAUGGACCUCCGGGAAUGGACCCUGGGACACUUGACACCGACUGGGAUCAAGUUGUCGAAACCUUCGAUGACAUGAACCUCAAAGAAGAAUUGUUGAGAGGCAUAUACGCCUAUGGUUUUGAAAAACCUUCUGCAAUCCAGCAACGCGCAAUAAUGCCUUGCAUCCAAGGACGCGAUGUUAUCGCUCAAGCCCAGUCAGGAACUGGAAAAACUGCUACUUUCUCUAUAUCGAUUCUACAACAAAUCGAUACAAGCAUUCGUGAAUGUCAAGCUUUGAUCCUGGCUCCCACAAGAGAGCUGGCCCAACAAAUUCAGAAGGUGGUGAUAGCUCUUGGUGAUCACUUGAAUGCUAAAUGCCAUGCUUGCAUUGGUGGCACCAAUGUCCGUGAAGAUAUUCGCCAACUGGAGAGUGGUGUUCAUGUGGUGGUGGGCACUCCAGGUCGUGUAUAUGAUAUGAUAACUCGUCGUGCGCUUCAUGCCAACACCAUCAAACUUUUUGUUCUUGAUGAAGCUGAUGAAAUGUUGUCCAGAGGUUUCAAGGACCAGAUCCAUGAUGUCUUCAAGAUGUUGUCAGCUGAUGUUCAAGUCAUAUUACUCUCUGCUACCAUGCCUGAUGAUGUAUUGGAAGUAUCUCGAUGCUUUAUGAGAGAUCCUGUACGCAUACUUGUACAGAAGGAAGAGCUUACCCUGGAAGGUAUUAAACAAUUUUACAUUGCAAUUGAAUUAGAAGAAUGGAAGCUGGAAACUCUGUGUGACCUGUAUGAUACACUGUCUAUUGCACAAGCUGUAAUUUUCUGCAACACCCGUCGCAAGGUGGAUUGGCUCACUGAAUCUAUGCAUCUGCGUGACUUUACUGUAUCUGCUAUGCAUGGAGACAUGGAUCAACGUGAGCGUGAAGUGAUCAUGAGGCAGUUUCGUACUGGCUCUUCUCGUGUCUUGAUCACCACUGAUUUAUUGGCACGUGGUAUUGAUGUACAGCAAGUUUCCUGCGUCAUCAACUAUGAUCUGCCAUCCAACCGUGAAAAUUAUAUUCACAGGAUUGGACGAGGUGGACGUUUUGGUCGUAAGGGAAUUGCUAUCAACUUUGUGACUGAAGCUGACAGGAGAGCACUGAAGGAUAUUGAGGACUUCUACCACACUAGUAUCGUUGAAAUGCCCAGUGAUGUGGCCAACCUCAUCUAAGGCGCCUACAUUUUUCCGAUUUAUAUUCUGUGUCCUGCGUUCUAUUGCGAUAUUUAUAAGAAGAUCUACCCACUGAGCCUGUGAAACGCACUUUGGAUACUUCUAUGUGGAAAUAAUAAAUCGAAAUUUCCUCUAA